GUGAGAAUCUGCCCUCAGGAGGGGGAUAACGGUUGGAAACGACCGCUAAUACCCCAUAUGCCUAUUGGUGAAAUGAAUUUCGCCUGAGGAUGAGCUCGCGUCUGAUUAGCUAGUUGGUGAGGUAAUGGCUCACCAAGGCUUCGAUCAGUAGCUGGUCUGAGAGGAUGAUCAGCCACACUGGGACUGAGACACGGCCCAGACUCCUACGGGAGGCAGCAGUGGGGAAUUUUCCGCAAUGGGCGAAAGCCUGACGGAGCAACGCCGCGUGAGGGACGAAGGCCUCUGGGCUGUAAACCUCUUUUCUCAAGGAAGAAGAUAUGACGGUAC
rnacentral:rRNA from 1 species